UACGGAGGGUGCGAGCGUUAAUCGGAAUAACUGGGCGUAAAGGGCACGCAGGCGGGUAUUUCAGUGAGGUGUGAAAGCCCCGGGCUUAACCUGGGAAUAGCAUUUCAGACUGGGAGUCUAGAGUACUUUAGGGAGGGGUAGAAUUCCACGUGUAGCGGUGAAAUGCGUAGAGAUGUGGAGGAAUACCGAAGGCGAAGGCAGCCCCUUGGGAAUGCACUGACACUCAUGUGCGAAAGCGUGGGUAGCAAACAGG
rnacentral:rRNA from 1 species